UACGAAGGGGGCUAGCGUUGCUCGGAAUUACUGGGCGUAAAGCGCACGUAGGCGGCUUUCUAAGUCGGGGGUGAAAUCCUGGAGCUCAACUCCAGAACUGCCUUCGAUACUGGAGAGCUCGAGUCCGGGAGAGGUGAGUGGAACUGCGAGUGUAGAGGUGAAAUUCGUAGAUAUUCGGAGGAACACCAGUGGCGAAGGCGACACACUGGGCCAUUACUGACGCUGAGGCGCGAAAGCGUGGGGAGCAAACAGG
rnacentral:rRNA from 1 species